GACGAACCGUGCGAACGUUGUUCGGAUUCACUGGGCUUAAAGGGCGCGUAGGCGGACGGUCAAGUCAGGGGUGAAAUCUUUCAGCUCAACUGGAAAGUGCCUUUGAUACUGAUCGUCUCGAGGGAGGUAGGGGCAUGUGGAACUUCCGGUGGAGCGGUGAAAUGCGUAGAUAUCGGAAGGAACGCCGGUGGCGAAAGCGACGUGCUGGACCUCUUCUGACGCUGAGGCGCGAAAGCUAGGGGAGCAAACGGG
rnacentral:rRNA from 1 species